UCAUUCGCGCUCUCAUCAUUA
rnacentral:miRNA from 1 species